rnacentral:rRNA from 1 species
GAUACAUGCAAGUCGAACGCUUUUUCUUUCACCGGAGCUUGCUCCACCGAAAGAAAAAGAGUGGCGAACGGGUGAGUAACACGUGGGUAACCUGCCCAUCAGAAGGGGAUAACACUUGGAAACAGGUGCUAAUACCGUAUAACAAGUAAAACCGCAUGGUUUUACUUUGAAAGGCGCUUUUGCGUCACUGAUGGAUGGACCCGCGGUGCAUUAGCUAGUUGGUGAGGUAACGGCUCACCAAGGCAACGAUGCAUAGCCGACCUGAGAGGGUGAUCGGCCACAUUGGGACUGAGACACGGCCCAAACUCCUACGGGAGGCAGCAGUAGGGAAUCUUCGGCAAUGGACGAAAGUCUGACCGAGCAACGCCGCGUGAGUGAAGAAGGUUUUCGGAUCGUAAAACUCUGUUGUUAGAGAAGAACAAGGAUGAGAGUAAAAUGUUCAUCCCUUGACGGUAUCUAACCAGAAAGCCACGGCUAACUACGUGCCAGCAGCCGCGGUAAUACGUAGGUGGCAAGCGUUGUCCGGAUUUAUUGGGCGUAAAGCGAGCGCAGGCGGUUUCUUAAGUCUGAUGUGAAAGCCCCCGGCUCAACCGGGGAGGGUCAUUGGAAACUGGGAAACUUGAGUGCAGAAGAGGAGAGUGGAAUUCCAUGUGUAGCGGUGAAAUGCGUAGAUAUAUGGAGGAACACCAGUGGCGAAGGCGGCUCUCUGGUCUGUAACUGACGCUGAGGCUCGAAAGCGUGGGGAGCAAACAGGAUUAGAUACCCUGGUAGUCCACGCCGUAAACGAUGAGUGCUAAGUGUUGG